GGGAAGACUGACUAGUCCAGUUUCUGAUAUGGCAGAAAGAAGAAAAGAUGCUGGUUGCUUCAUGCUCAUGUUAUUUUUCUUUUGCUCCACACCAACAUUGACCAGGUGUUUUCCAUCCUUCUCCUCGAUGAGAAUUUUUUCGGAUUCAUCUGGAACAUCUCUCGAGUUAAUAUUGGCAUCAUUCAACUCUGCUGAACUAUAAGUUGACUUUUUUCCACCAUCUUUACCAAUGGAUAAUGAAUCUUCACUUUUAUUUAUACUACAUGAUUCAUGUAAUGGUCUAUCCUCCGAUACAUCUGGAGGAGAGACAAGCGCGCUACCAUUUAAUACAGAUAGCGGAGUUCUGCAUUCUUUGAAGGUCAUAUUUGCAGAAGAAUGCUCAAAAACGGCAAUCUCUGCUGGUUUGGCUUCUUGAUUGUCAAAUCCUAGAACUGUUUCUAUUGGAGAAGAUUCCCAGUCGAUGGAACAAUAGGUUUUGGGUCUGUAUGUUAAAACCACCAACAGAUGUAUGCUUAAGAGA
rnacentral:misc_RNA from 1 species